rnacentral:rRNA from 1 species
UACGUAGGUGACGAGCGUUAUCCGGAUUUACUGGGCGUAAAGCGCUUGUAGGUGGUUGUGUAAGUUGGACGUUAAAUCUCCAGGCUCAACUUGGAGAGGCCGUUCAAUACUGCGCGACUAGAGGAUGUCAGAGGAAGGUGGAAUUCCAGGUGUAGUAGUGAAAUGCGUAGAUAUCUGGAGGAACACCCGUGGCGAAAGCGGCCUUCUGGGACAUUCCUGACACUGAGAAGCGAAAGCUAGGGGAGCAAACAGG